rnacentral:rRNA from 1 species
UACGUAGGGGGCAAGCGUUGUCCGGAAUCAUUGGGCGGAAAGCGCGUGUAGGCGGCUCGGUAAGUCCGCUCUGAAAGCCCGGGGCUCAACCCCGGGAGGCGGGUGGAUACUGCUGAGCUCGAGUCCGGAAGAGGAGUGUGGAAUUCCUGGUGUAGCGGUGAAAUGCGCAGAUAUCAGGAGGAACACCAAUGGCGAAGGCAGCACUCUGGGACGGUACUGACGCUGAGACGCGAAAGCGUGGGGAGCAAACAGG